UGGCGGAUGACGGUACCUCCAGAGGAAGCCCCGGCUAACUCCGUGCCAGCAGCCGCGGUAAUACGGAGGGGGCAAGCGUUACCCGGAUUGACUGGGUGUAAAGGGUCCGCAGGCGGUUAGAUGUGUCGGUUCUGAAAUCCUCUGGCUCAACCAGAGAAUUGGAACCGAUACUAUCUAACUUUGAGUCAGGGAGAGGAAGACGGAACUGCCGGUGUAGCGGUGAAAUGCGUAGAUAUCGGCAGGAACACCAGUGGCGAAGGCGGUCUUCUAUCCCUGAACUGACGCUCAGGGACGAAAGCGUGGGGAGCGAUCGGGAUUAGAUACCCCGGUAGUCCACGCUGUAAACGAUGGGUGUUAGGUGUCGGCCCGUAAAAGGGUCGGUGCCGAAGCUAACGCGUUAAACACCCCACCUGGGGACUACGGCCGCAAGGCUAAAACCCAAAGGAAUUGACGGGGGCCCGCACAACCGGUGGAACAUGUGGUUUAAUUCGACGAUACACGAAGAACCUCACCUGGGCUUGACAUGCCGGUGGUAGAACCCCGAAAGGGGGACGACCCACCUUUUAGGGUGGGAGCCGGCACAGGUGGUGCAUGGCUGUCGUCAGCUCGUGCCGUGAGGUGUUGGGUUAAGUCCCGGAACGAGCGCAACCCCUGCCCGCAGUUACUCGCCCAUUAAGGGCAGCACUCUGCGGGGACUGCCGGUGUUAAACCGGAGGAAGGUGGGGAUGACGUCAAGUCAUCACGCCCCUUAUGCCCAGGGCUACACACGUGUUACAAUGGCCGGUACAAAGGGAAGCGAAGCCGCGAGGCGGAGCAAAUCCCAAAAAGCCGGCCCCAGUUCGGAUUGCAGGCUGAAACCCGCCUGCAUGAAGCCGGAAUCGGUAGUAAUCGCGGAUCAGCAGGCCGCGGUGAAUACGUUCUCGGGCCUUGUACACACCGCCCGUCACGCCAACUGAGUCGGGGGUACUCGAAGUUCCUUAUCCCAACCCGCAAGGGAGGGAGGGAAUUAGAGUACACUCGGCAAGGAGGGCGAAGUCGUAACAAGGCAGCCGUACGGGAACGUGCGGCUGGAUCACCUCCUUU
rnacentral:rRNA from 1 species